rnacentral:siRNA from 1 species
ACACAUAGUGUGAACGCAUAGUG